GAAGAACCUCGGGUGCUGGCGCGCCUGAAGUUGCAGACCAGACUUAAAUGUGCGAGACAUGUGCCUUUUUCUUAGGAAAGGCCCCAGAUGCCCCCAGUUUGUCUACUCCAUUGAACUUUGCAUGCUUGGAGCCCCUGGCCUCAGCACACUCAAUCGCACAAGCCCGCCUGCAGCACCUGUACAGCACCAUGGGAGUCCCCUGCAGUGCUGCAACUUUGAGAGUGGGUAUAGUGACGUAACUCAGGUUCUUCAAGGGAUGAACACUCCAACUUUGAAACCACUAGCCUGUAGGUGUGGACGAAAAAGCAGCUGCAUGUUAUAAAACAAUAUUACUCAUA